UGGGGAAUAUUGGACAAUGGGGGCAACCCUGAUCCAGCCAUGCCGCGUGAGUGAUGAAGGCCUUCGGGUUGUAAAGCUCUUUUGGCGGGGACGAUGAUGACGGUACCCGCAGAAUAAGCCCCGGCUAACUUCGUGCCAGCAGCCGCGGUAAGACGAAGGGGGCUAGCGUUGUUCGGAAUUACUGGGCGUAAAGCGCGUGUAGGCGGUUGCCCAAGUCGGGUGUGAAAGCCUUGAGCUCAACUCAAGAAAUGCACUCGGUACUGGGUGACUAGAGGACCGGAGAGGAUAGUGGAAUUCCCAGUGUAGUGGUGAAAUACGUAGAGAUUGGGAAGAACACCAGUGGCGAAGGCGGCUAUCUGGACGGUUUCUGACGCUAAGACGCGAAAGCGUGGGGAGCAAACAG
rnacentral:rRNA from 1 species